AUAAUCUACCUCCACGACCGGGACAACUGGCCGAAAGGCUUGCUAAUACCGGAUAAGCCCACGGGGACUUCGGUCCCUGAGGGAAAAGGCGGCCUCUGUAUACAAGCUGUCACAAGGAGAUGAGUCCGCGGCCCAUCAGCUUGUUGGCGGGGUAAAAGCCCACCAAGGCAACGACGGGUAGCUGGUCUGAGAGGAUGAUCAGCCACACUGGAACUGAGACACGGUCCAG
rnacentral:rRNA from 1 species